rnacentral:rRNA from 1 species
GACAGAGGAGCCAAGCGUUGUCCGGAUUGACUGGGCGUAAAGCGCACGCAGGCGGUCGCGCGCGUGGGGUGUGAAAACUGGCGGCUUAACUGCCAGAGGCCAUCCCAUACGGCGUGACUCGAGCCAUGCAGAGGUCCACGGAAUUGCCGGUGUAGUGGUGAAAUGCGUAGAGAUCGGCAGGAACACCCAGGGGGAAACCAGUGGACUGGGCAUGUGCUGACGCUCAGGUGCGAAAGCGUGGGGAGCGAGCCGG